rnacentral:lncRNA from 1 species
UUUUUUUGAGACGGAGUCUCGCUCUGUCGCCCAGGCUGGAGUACAGUGGCAGAGCUUGGAGGCAAGCUCUGCCUCCAAGGUUCAUGCCGUUCUCGUGCCUCAGCCUCCCGAGUAGCUGGGACUACAGGUGCCCGCCACCACGCCCGGCUAAUUUUUUUGUAUUUUUAGUAGACACGGUUUCACCGUGUUAGCCAGGAUGGUCUCUAUUUUCUGACCUCGUGAUCCGCCCGCGUCCGCCUCCCAAAGUGCUGCGAUUACAGGUGUGAGCCACCGCGUCUGGCCGAAACCUUGUUCUUUCAAGUCCACAUAAACGUUGCUAUUUGAAAUUAUAUCAGAACGAGUGAAAAGUCCCAUCCUUGCCUGGAGGAUCUAAGUCUCUUUGACGCAGAGAAGCAGCCUCAAUUUCUAUCCAGAGACAGGGUCUUGAACUCCUAGCCUCAAGUGAUCCUACUGCCUCCACCUCCCAAAGUGUUGAAAUUACCGGCCUGAGCCACUGUGUCUGGCUCCUAUGUUGUCCUUAUAAGAACACCAUGUGAAGAUACAGAGACACACAGGGAAAAAGCCCAUGCGAAGACAGAGACAGAGACUGAAGUGCUGCAGCUACAAGCCAAAGAAUGCUGAGGAUUGCUGGCAACCACCAGAAGCUAGGGGAGAGGCAUGUGUGGUUUCUGCUGCAGACCCUCCAGAAGGAACUAACCCUGCUGACAACUUGAUUUAGGAGUGCUGGCUUCCUGAAUUGUGAGAGAAUAAAUUUCUGUUCUUUAAAGCCACCAAGUUUGCAGUAGUUUGUUAUGGUAGCCCUAGGAAAUACAGGGGCGUUGGGGGAAAUAGGGAACCAUUGCUAAUCAGUACAAGGUUUCUUUUUGGGGUGAUGAAAAUGUUCUAAAAUUGUGGUGAUGGUUGCGUAACUCUGUGGAUAUAUUAAAAACCACUGAAUAAUACAUUUUUUUUUUUUUUUUUUUUUUUUUAGUCUUGCUCUGUUGCCCAGGCUGGGGUGCAGUGGCUUGAUCUCAGCUCACUGCAACCUCUGCCUGUCAGGUUCAAGC